rnacentral:rRNA from 1 species
ACAAGCGGAGGAACAUGUGGUUAAUUCGAUGAUACGCGAGGAACCUUACCUGGCUUAAAUGUAGAGUGCAUUUUUAGAGAUAGAAAUUCCCUUCGGGGCUUCUGCAAGGUGCUGCAUGGUUGUCGUCAGCUCGUGCCGUGAGGUGUCGGGUUAAGUCCCAUAACGAGCGCAACCCUUAUCGUUAGUUGCCAUCUGGUAAUGCAGGGGACUCUAGCGAAACUGCCACCGUAAGGUGAGAGGAAGGUGGGGAUGACGUCAAAUCAGCACGGCCCUUAUGUCCAGGGCUACACACGUGUUACAAUGGUCGGUACAGAGGGCAGCUACCUGGUGACAGGAUGCUAAUCUCGAAAACCGGUCUCAGUUCGGAUCGAAGUCUGCAACUCGACUUCGUGAAGCUGGAUUCGCUAGUAAUCGCGCAUCAGCUAUGGCGCGGUGAAUACGUUCCCGGGCCUU